UACGAAGGGGGCUAGCGUUGCUCGGAAUCACUGGGCGUAAAGGGUGCGUAGGCGGGUUUUUAAGUCAGAGGUGAAAUCCUGGAGCUACAACUCCAGAACUGCCUUUGAUACUGAGAAUCUUGAGUUCGGGAGAGGUGAGUGGAACUGCGAGUGUAGAGGUGAAAAUGCGCAGAUAUCAGGAAGAACACCAAUGCGAAGGCAGCUCUCUGGGACGGUACUGACGCUGAGACGCGAAAGCGUGGGGAGCGAACAGG
rnacentral:rRNA from 1 species